AUACGGCAGGUCCGGGCGUUAUCCGGAUUUAUUGGGUUUAAAGGGAGCGCAGGCGGAGAUGCAAGCGUGACGUCAAAUUUCGGGGCUCAACCCCGUCUCGCGUCGCGAACUGCGACCCUUGGAUGCGGGAAGGGGAGGCGGAACUCGUGGUGUAGCGGUGAAAUGCAUAGAUAUCACGAAGAACUCCGAUCGCGAAGGCAGCCUUCCGGCCCGUCAACGACGCUCAUGCUCGAAGGUGCGGGUAUCAAACAGGAUUAGAUACCCUGGUAGUCCGCACAGUAAACGAUGGACACCCGCGGUUUGGCCUGUAUGGCUGAGCCGCCAAGCGAAAGCGUUAAGUGUCCCACCUGGGGAGUACGCCGGCAACGGUGAAACUUAAAGGAAUUGGCGGGG
rnacentral:rRNA from 1 species